GCGGCGGCGGGCGAGGCCGGGACCGCUCGGAGGCGGCUGAGAUCCGACAGGUGACGGGGCCGGAGCGGGGCCGCCUCCUCACGACUGCCGGGCGGCAGCGGCAGGUCCGUGGCCGUUGGAAUGAUGCAGCAGGAAAAGCCCUGGGCUCGUGUUACGCACCGUCAUUCAUGUCCCGGCACAACGCCAUCGCUGGGCUGUAGCAGCUUCAGCAAGGUUUGAAUCCAGCACAGAGGUAGGACGCCCAGCUGGGAGCUGUUCCAUAUUACUUUCCUUCUUUUCUCUUUAAUUCUUUCCAUGGGAAAAGAAAUCCUAGUCGUUUCCCCGUUCUCAUUAAACCAGCUUCUAGCUAAGAGCAUCCCUGAGUUUGCUUCAGCUGAACAGGUUCACUGCCAAACCUUUUUUUCUAAGUGCAUCGAUUGGACUAGACUACCAUCCAUUGCUUGUACAAAAGUGAGUUGUUUUGUUGGGUUUUUUUAAUGAGGAGGCUGGGUUUGGUCCUUUUUAGCAGUGAUGCAAUGGUGUUUCUAGGUCAGGUCUUUCUGUGCAGUCACAUGAAGUUCCAAUUUGGACAGAACGCCCAGUGAGGGUCUUAAUGUUUGAUGCUGUUACGAUUCGAAUGUUGUCUUAUCAAAUUUUAUUUCCAAUUAAAAGAAUUGGAUUAGCUCUCAGACUGAGACCUUUGGUGUUAUUUUUAGCCUACAACUAAUGAACCCCCGAAAAUAGAGCCUAUCAUACACAUACAGCAAUUGGUUCUGCUGGAACGGUUAGGGAAAUACAUCAGCAGAUCAGAAAGGGUAAUAAAUCUUCUGUCACAACCUUCCUCAUUAAGGGAGAUAAUUUGAAAUUGCCUCUAGUGUAUUAAACAGCUCAUUAUUUUUUAGGGGGGGCAACACACGAGACAAAAGAGUAGUGUUCUUUUAAUUGAUAUCCAAAGCCUGAAUCCAGCAAAUUCACUCAAGAAAAAUCAGCCUGAGCUGCGUGGCCAUACAGCUUGGCCAGAGCCACCCAAGCCUUCAUCUCCUCUCUCUUAGGGAAGGAGGAAAGGUCUCCUGAAAAUACUGCAGGGUUGAUGGGGGGUUGGGGAAAGGGCAGAGCCCUACUGUGUUUGCCACGGAGUGCCUCUCCACCAACACAGCUGCAAAAUCACAGAGGUAAUUUAGGGCUCGUGGAUAUUUGUCUGGUUGUAAUAGGACAAGCCCCAGAACUUAGUUUCUCUACUUUAUCUGCACCCCAGUGUUAUUCCCGAGGCAUCUAAUAAAUCAAGUAAGCCAAGGGUACCUCCGUGGCAGCACGUCUGUGGGAGCACAAAGGGAACUUGAGUGGGAAACUGCAGCGAGAAAGGGGAAUUUGGGGUGUCAGCUGAACUGAGGGAUGGAACCCGUGCCAGGGUACAGCAGAAACAUUCUUCUGUGUGCAUGACCACGAGCUCUCUCAGUAAAAAUGGGACAACACCACCCUCGUGGUUUUGGUGGAGAACAUCACUGCCUCAACUUUAGCCUUCCCUGAAAUUCCUCACUUCCCAGGACACUUGUGACCUGACAAGCUGCAUGCUAAGGACAAGCUGGAGGGUUUUCUUCACUGUAUCUCUACAGUAAAAAGAUGCUGGCACUAGACCAGAAGAUGCCUGAGAUCUGGCUGCCAUCAGGGGAGCGCCAGGUUGGCGCGUGGGACAUCCUGUCAUUUUUAUCCUGUCAUUUCUACAUGCUCAGAGCCAAAUUGCAUCUUGGUGUAAUGCUGCUGGCCCUUGUACACAAGUCAUCUUGAUCCCGUGCCCAAAAGGAGGGCAAAUGUGAAGGGAAAAUAGGAGAAUAUUGUACUGGAGAAGAUGGACUGAAAGGUGGGUAUUGCUCUUCCUUUAGUAGCAAAAGCACAAGUAAAUAAUUCCUCGCUGUAUUGGACACAUUCCUUUAUUGUGAUUCCAGGCGGGGAAGGGAAAGGGACAUUUGUUAUCGCACAGACAACAUAUGGCAUUAGCAAAUAACACACGGUGUUGUAGCAGCUGAAAACACAGCUGAGUAUAUCUUAACCCCCUUAACCUGAAAAGCACAGUGGUAAGAAGUCAAGCAAAAAGGUCUGUGCCUCUUUCCGCUUCAUACUGGCUGCAGUACCGCCACCCACAUCCAAAGCCAAAGUUCUUUCAUUUCGUUUCUUGGCCAGAAAACUGAUCCUUCAGCUUCAUCGUAUCCAUAUUCUGAUACAAUACCUUCAUAAUGUCUUCUCUAUUUCGAUAUAAAGCACAACACUGGCCAAGCAUCCAUGCAGCCAAGUACCGGUGAGCGCUGGUAAAUGCCUGAGGGACAGUCACACAGAUAAUGGAAGCAGACCAUAAUUGCCUUGUCUCUACCAAAAUCAGCAUUAGCAAUAGCACUGUUACUAAACCAUUCCAAAAGAGGCACUAGAUGCUGGUGGUUCUACUAUUUAAAUGUGGCCGUAGUUGUGAAUUUCCAGCAGUGGGGACAAUCACUGCAGAGAACUGGCUGCAACGUGGUGAAUGAAUGAAGUACCCCGCCACACAUGCCUACUUACCUCAUGGGCCAAUGGCAGCUUAUUUUUAAUCACGAAAACACAUUUCAGCAGGCAUACCAUCUGUAUUUCAUCUAAAAGAGGAGCAGUUUUUAGCAAUCCCAGGCCUAAGUACGACGCAAGCUGUUCAAUCUUUGCAGACAGGGAGAGUCCAUUCAUUUCUCCUGCGCUUCAGCGCAAUCCUUUCCGAGUCUGAUCCCGCAGUCCUCACCACCUCCUUGUUCCUUAGAAACUGCUUAUGCGAUUCAUUCUGUGUUCAUAGGUUAUAACAGCAACGUGCUUCUUGUUUUUGCUGCCUGUCUCUUCAUUAAACCUGUGGUUCACACUGCGGGGCCGGGGAAACUCCUGUUUAGGGAGUUGCUUCUUUCUUGUAUUUUGGCAGCACAUUUUGUUGUUUGCUCGGAAUGUGUUUAGCUGAAGGAGGGCUGAGGGAGGGGUGUGAAGCAGUCCGGGAUGAGACUGGUUUUCUCAGGUUGCCAACCAGCCUGGACCUCGGGUCACUGAGCCGAAAUACUACUGAGAAAGAGUCAUUUGUCUUCAUUAUUUGUGUCACAACAGUGGCUCGAUGCUAUUACCUCGUUGUUCAGGAUGCUGGAAACUAAAGCAAGGAGAUGCUCCACGUCCCAAAGAACGUCAGGUCUGAGCCUAAAAUAGGCUCAGGAAUACAGCAGCGGUGGCCAAGGGAGGGAGUUCUGCAGCACUGGCAUUAACCAAGCGUGGGGCAGCAGUCACGGGGUGUGGAAUUAAAGGACAGGAAUUUCCUGGAGGAGGAGAAGGAACUGCUGCCAAGCUGGGCGAAGGCAGGCCGAGCUGGGAAGGCAGGCAGAUGUGGCAAUGGGCUGUGCUGCAGGCAGCCUGCAAGCACCCCUUCUGCUCAGCCGCCUCCAGCAGUGCCCAGGGAGCACAAAGCAGCACAGCCACUGCGUCCCCUUCCUUGGGUGCCACGAUGCUGCUCCAGCAGCCCAGCGUGUUCUGUGAGGCACUUUAUCCCAGCAGUCUGUGCCUUUCCUUUGAAAUGGCUGCCUGUGUGGAGUGGUUCUGCUAAUUCAGCUUGCUGGGAAGGGGAGAUUCUGGCAUAACACGGAAUCACAACACAAACCCACACUGCCCGGAGCUACAGGAGAGGUCUGGCAGGAGAACAGCAGCCUGGCUGCAAGUAUCACUCGGUGCAGUUUGGAUGCACAACUUCCAUGAACAAAACCCAGUGCUGGAUGAAUUGGUGUUUUUUUUUCCCCCCUUUUUUCCCCUCUCCUUUGCCCUGCUCCUGUGGAAACUGCACAGGGAACCCUUUGCCAUGACAAAACCAUCACCCAACACACUGCUCGUCACAAGACUCUCAUACAAAGCUCCAACAUCAGUGAGGAAACUUUGACUGAAAUGAACUUUGCAUCAGGCUCGUUCCAAACCCUCCGUUAUCUCACUUCCAAUUUAUCACUCAGAUGUCUGUAAUUCUCCCCGGAGAGACUUUCUAGUAUUUAAACAGCUACUACCCUGCAUAAUUUCUUCCUGUUUUCAGAAGAGAAAUAGAGGAACUGUGAAAUCAUGCUGAAUGCCUCAAGAGCCCAAAGAGCAGAGAUUCUUCAUUGAAUUUGCCACAUUCAUUAUCAGCUGAGGAUGUGACUGGAGAGAACUCCAAGGUUUACAAGUUCAGAAGUAGGUGUUUCUUUUCUUUUCAUCCGGACUUCAAUUCAUUCCAGCCGUAUUUGCACUUUAAAGGAGCUCUGUCAGACAAGAAAAACAUUUCAAGUCACUUUUAUUUAUAGGAAUCCUUCAGACUUUGGUGGCUAUUGACUCGACAAAUCCAUCUGACCUCAAGUAUCACUGCAGAAAUGUUUUUGCGGCGGGUUUAUUAGCUCAGAAGUCUUUCCCAGGCUAAGCUUUUUUCCAGCAGUGCCCUUCCAGCAGGCUGGUGGAAAAAACAAGACCCAAAGAAGGAAGUGGAUUCUUAGCAGCGGUCAUGCAGACUGUUUUAUUCUCAUGGCCGUUUUUGCACGGCAUUAGCAACUCAAAGGCACCAGUUCAGCACGGCACUUCAGCUAUUUGCUGAAUCAGGGGCUGAAAGCUCAAGAGAAAGAGGAGGAGGAAGGACAUGGGUGUUAUUCCCACGGAUUUUCGCAGAGCGUUAAACGACUGUUAGCUGAGCAACAAGAAUUUACCCUAUUGCAGCUGCAGUGGAUGAGAUCUGUGCUCUUUUGAAGGGGCAGCCUGAAACUAACACGACAACAAGUCAUCAAGUCCCUAUCUUCAGUGAGGGAGAAGGAAGUCAGAUUCCAAACUUCAGUCCUCUUUGAAGCUGCUUUUUUUCGCCUCCAACUCCACACAAUUUAUUCUUCUUGAUCAAUCUCUUGUUUGUGUUUCCCUGGUCCAUCACUGUGUGGGACAUCCAGCUAACAGAACGCUCGUGUUACUGCUGGAAAAAGCUAAAACACUGCACCACAGCAAAACGGCUCCUAGCAGAGUAACUUUCUUGAUAGCCACGAUGUGAGGAUGGAGGAAAUGAUACAUGGCAUGAUAUUUCUCUGCCGUGGGUCCCACUGUAUCAGUGCUGUAAGAAGUACUGAUGUCGGUGGGGAAGGCACUGCGCUCUCUCAGCUGCUCCAUGUAUCUGGUAAAUGUUCAGCCUGGUUCGUCAUGGCAGCACUGGGGGAAAUACCCCGACUAUGAGAGACAGCAAGUGAACAUCAACCUGGUCUUCAUUUGGAGGGUUUGGGUCAGGUGGUUGAGUUCUGUUGUGCUGCUAAAAUAGAAGGGCACUCCCAGAUGCACGAGUAGAGCAGGAGGCAGAGGAGCCAGCCUCCAAACCUCAUGCAAAGAGAAGAAGAAGCUCAGCUCACACUGACUGCAUCAGAUCUGGAUGUAGCCCUUCAUACACGAUAUCUUGCACAGAACAGUAAUUCAUCACACGCCCUUCAGUAGCACCUUUGUCCUAUCAGUAACUUACUGAGCCCUCCCAAGCCCAAAUGAUCCUUAUGUGCAUCGUUCCCUGAAUUACUACAAGCCAUUUGACUGUAAAUGGGUUCUUUGGCACCAAUCAGCAGAUCGUUGACCUUAGCAGUAUGAUUAUGCCAUCAAUACGCAUCUGAAGCAGAGACAUGAGUGACUUGGUAUUGAACGAUUAAUUUCACAUAUGGAAAUGCAUGUGAAAGGGGUCGUGCAAAACUGGAGAUCUCAAAGGCCCCCAGAGGGAUUGCAGAGGAAGUGCAGAGUGCCAGAUGGAGAAAAAGAGCCUGAGCACAGAAGCAUCUCUUGAUGAACACACGGAUCCCAAGUGCUUUGCACAGAAAGAUAAAACGAGGCACGAAUAUAUGGCCACAAAUGGCAUGGCAGGGCGGUGGUGAAAAACGCAGUGAUGGAGCUUUAGCAAUCCAGGCAUGUUCUUCCUGCUUGGAGCUGCUCACAUGGUUGCAGAGAUGAUCAGCGGACAUGCCAUGGCAGGAGCAAUACCUUUAAUUUAGUGAUGGCCUAAGAAAAGUUUUCCAGCUUGUCUCCACUGCAGCAAGCACUUGAAAAUGUGAUCCUCCAGAGAAUGAAGGGGCCAUGAUUUCAUAUUAUCAUCUGUCAGCGGGAUCUGAGGCUGAAAGCCAAGCAGCAAAUGGCACGAAACUCAUUGAGAGACUGAGGAUUGCAACACCAGACAGAACACAAAGUCAGCCAUUGGGCAGGGGGAGGGGAGAACAGAAACAGAAUUGAGAAAGGCCUGGAGCCAUGAGGAAGGGAGAGGGUUUGGGCCUCUUUGGGAGAAGAGAAGUCAGGUGGGUUUCACUGAUGUCACACAGAGAGGAAUUUUCUAAUUCCUAUUCACUGAAGAACAAGUGAAGAGAACUCUCUACUGCCGCCAGCCACAGUCAGCAGCUCUGAACUGUGAAAACAAGCUCACAUGGUGGCUUGAUGUACGAUCAAGGCUCUACACAUCCACCACUGUGCAAAGAAAACGUACCCCAGAAAUUCACUCCUUGUCACAGAACACCCAUACUGGAACCUAAGUGCCUGUCCAAGUGCCUCUAAUGACAGUUCACCUGCUCAUAAUUUCACAACAAGCAAGCAGCAAUGCUUCCUUUCCAGCUCAAUCCAGUUUAUCUCAUCUUCUCAAUGGGGUGCAUUUGCCAUCCCCACGCACUUUGAACCAGUCCUAUGAUUUUAUCUUCAUGGCAACAACCUUCUGCCUUGAGAAGGAGCGCUUAUUAACUAGAGACAGCGUCAUUUUCAAAGUGAUUUAUUUUAUGAGGGCUUUGAAAUAAAUUAUCAGUCGGUGAUUGGCCACAGGGGAAAGCAUAUAAAAGCUUACCACGUGCACUGAACAUACCAUCUGGAAUCCUUUAAAAUCGAGCUUCAGGGUGGCUCAGCUCAUUCUUCCGAGUGCAUAAUGUUCACAGUGUACACUGAAGCAUGAAUAUAAAAGCGGAGUGACAUAACCCAGAGAGAACCAACACUGCAACUGAAGCUUUCUAUCUCGGAUCUCGCUGUUCCAGCCCAUCGUCAUCCCUGCAGGCAUUCAAGGCCAGGCUGGAUGUGGCUCUGGGCAGCCUGGGCUGCUGGUUGGUGUCCUUCUCAUAGCAGGGGGUUGGAGCUGGAUGAGCAUUGUGCUCCUUUGCAAGCCAGGCCAUUCUAGGAUUCUAUGAUCAAAGGCUGGCAUUUUCUUCACUAAGACUGAUGUCACAGUCCAUCAUUUUAAUCCUAUUAAAAAGAAAAAAGAAAAAAAAAAAAAGAAAAAAACCCCACAAAACAAAUCCUUUCACUUUCCAGUUAGGUGAAAAAGGGACGCCUCUGCCAUGUGUCGGAUUUCCACCUUCUGACUGGCUGCUGUAAAAGCAGAAGGUACAAAAUCCAUACUGUUGUUGUUCCUCUGGAUUUACUGCCUGUGGCAUGCACUGCCCUCUGGGUGCAAUAAAGUUUCCCAACUGUAAUGUUUGUCACAUUUCAAAACCUCUGUUAUUGUCCCUGCAAAGUACUAAAUCUGACAGGCUGGAAAGUUAUGAAGUGAAAUCCAGUGUCAUGUAAGCAAGAAUCCAACAGGAGAGAUCCGGAUGCUCACACUGCCUACACCAUUGCAUUCUCAGCCCACCUGAGAUCAGCCUGCUGGUGAAUCGUACCAUAUUGCUUGUAGUACAGAAUAACAGACCUACUUUCGGUAUGGUCUGUUGCUCUCAGGCUCACAGUUCGGCCUUUGAAAGACAAAAGGGAUCCUGAUCCAUUGAGAAGGCAGCUCACUCAUACAGCUGGGGAGGGCACAGUGCAUGGGGGGUUACAGAGCAGACAGAUGCUCCCACUUGGCGAAAGGACAACGAAUCCCAAGUCACAGCAAGGGAAAGUCUGACUAUUACAGGGCAUAAUGGUGGUAUUCACUGUGCUGGUGUGUAAGGACUGCACUGAUAUCCAGAGAUGUCGUGCAAUCUCUCUCUUUGGAGACGCUCAAAACCCAACAGGCCAAGGUUCAAAGCUGGCCCUGUUUUGAACAGGAGGUUACAGCACUGCUGCUUUGCAGCCCAAAUGUUUAUAUGAUAAAAAACAGUGGCCCAGGUUUGUAAUGCAGAGGCAACAGCGCAGGCCCUACGAUGCAGAGCUGCUCUCACAGAGGCACAAAACUCCCUUUCUGAAUAACUGAAAUAAUCCCACAGCGGGACUCAAAAUGGACUGAUGGAAAACAACGCUUCUUACAAUUCGGAGCCAAUUUUUUUACACACAGCUUCCAUUGUCUUCCCUAAGAAUUGCAUGCAGGCUCUGAACUUGUAAUUUCAUCCCAACUUUUUUUUCUUUUUCUUUUCCCACUGCACAGUUUGGAGCGUGUUGCAAUGUCUUCCAAUGGGACGCAGCCAGGGCUGUGCGUUAGAGCCUCCAAGCACUGCUCCUGGCACGACCAUGGGUCGGUGGCAUGCAAGGGAGACACGGAGCC